CCCACUCUAAUUCAGACAAAACUAAACCUAAAUCCCUAAUUUUGGCGCACUCUGACAGCCACCACGCAGUCACCAUGCCGGUGCCGCCACGGCUCCUCCACACGACUCGCAGUCUCCCUCGCACUCCCCAACAAAUAAAUAACUUCAUAAACUCAUCUCAAUUUGCUGGUUGAAACAUAGAAAACAAGUCAAGCAUAGCAGGAACAACAAGCAGGCACGCCUUAUAUUCUCUACAUAAAUAGCUUUUUCAAUAAAACAAACCUUCUGUUGAGUUUCUAUUGUGACGCCCAUUUGCUCAAUUUGAUCUGACAUAGCCUAAACAGAAGAAAAACAUGCAUCAAUUAAAGGCCUUGAAAAAGUGAUUUUAACAACCAGAUCAUGUCUCCAGCGUGAUCUUUUCUUAUUCAAUGUUUUUAUAAAAAAGAAAUAUAUAUGGAUUGCUGAACUGGAAAUAUAUAUUUUGAAUAUAUGUUACUUAUUUAAUUGUUACUGAAUUGGAAAUAUAUAUUUUGAAUUGAUUUAAGCUUUGUAUUAUGAAAUAUGGAUUACUAUGAUGAUUCCAUAAAUGAUAAUGUUGAUAUGGUGGAUGAAAUAAACAAUGAAGAAAAUGAAAUUAUUUUGACAGAUUGCCUAAUGAGGGGUAGGGGAGUUACAUCUUCUUUAUGGAAUUAUUUUGACAGAUUGCCUAAUGAUAGAGCUCUAUGCAGGGGUUAUAAGAAAGAUUUAGCAGGGGGUGGGAAGAAAAUUGGAACUUUGAGUUUAAUACGUCACUUAAAUAUUUGUAGGAAGACGACAAAGACUUUUGAAGAAAGUGAUGUCGGUAAGCUUGUGGUUGAUCAUGCUGGAAAAUUAAGAGCUUGAAAAGUUGAUCAAAAAGUAGUGAAUGAUUUUAUAUGCAUGAUGAUCAUACAACAUGACCUUUCUUUCUCUUUUGUUGAAUAUAGGAGGUUUAGAGAAUUGAUAAAAUACUUGUGUCUGGAUGCUAAGGUACCUUCUAGGCGUGCUUGCACUAUAUAUAUUAAUAAUAUGUAUGAAGAGCAAAAAAUCAUAUUGAAAAGUGUGUUGUCCAAAGUCCCUAGUAGGAUAUCCUUGACAUCUGAUUUGUGGACUUCUUUUGCCACAGAGGGUUAUAUUUAUUUAACUGCACAUUAUGUUGAUGAAAAUUGGAAGCUUCAAAGCAAAAUUCUUAAUUUUUGUCAUCUCCCUCCUCCACACUUUGGGGCUGAAAUGGCUAAGGCCAUAUAUGAAUUUUUGGAAGAUUGGGAGAUUGAGCAAAAUUUUUUUCCUUAACUUUGGAUAAUGCAUCCUCAAAUGAAACACACUCAAGGCUGUUGAAAGAUAGACUUUUAAAUAGCAAUAAUGGUUUGUUAUGUGGUGGGAAAUAUUUUCAUGUCCGAUGUUGUUGUGCUCACAUUUUAAACCUUAUUAUUCAGGAAGGUUUGAAGUUUGCUAAGAAUGCUUUAACAAAAUUUAGAGAAAGCAUAAAGUAUGUUAAAGGGUCAGAGGGAAAAAUGAAUGCCUUCAAAGCUUGUGUUGUUAAAGUGGGCAGUGUUGAUACAAAGGUUGGUUUGUGUUUGGGUGUUCCUACUAGGUGGAACUCCACAUUUGUGAUGCUUCAAAGUGUACUUGCAUACCGAUGUGUUUUUAAUACUCUUGCUAUUGAAGAUGCAAAUUAUGUGACUUGUCCUACAGCUGAAGAAUGAGUAAGAGCUGAAAAGAUAUGUGAAUUUUUGAAGCCAUUUUUUCAUAUCACUGAGUUGAUGUAUGGUUCUUCCUAUCCAACAUCUAAUUUGUUUUUUUUCACAAGUGUGGCAAAUUGAAUGUUGGUUGGAAAAACAUACUAGGCAUGAAGAUUAGAAGAUUAGGGAAAUGGUAGAUAAAAUGAAAGACAAGUUUGAUAAAUAUUGGAAUGAUUAUAGUGAUGUGCUUGCUCUUGGGACCAUUCUUGAUCCUUGUUAUAAGAUGUCAUUUUUGAAGUUCUGUUAUACAAAACUUGGUCUUAGUGAAGUAUCUUGCCAAGCAAAAAUGAAAGUCUUGAAGCACAAGUUGCAUUCUCUUUCAAGAGUAUGUCAAGAAUUCUAAGAAAGAGAGAACUACAAGAGGGCAACAAGAAUCUCAAGCUCAUCCUUCCUUGGCCAAAGGAAAGUCAACAUCACAAGUUGCAUUUAUUGAUGUAAGCCUAUAUUUUUUUUACCUAAACUUAAUGGCUCAUUUACUUCAUUACUUGUGUUAUUUCUUUAAUAUUUAAUUUUUCAUUUUGUGUAACUAAUGUAGAAGUUCAUCCACUUUGAGAAUGAUAACGUAUCACAACAUGGUUUCACAGGACGAACUCAGCUGCAUGCCCAGCUCUACCUGUAGCCGACUUACCCAAAUGGGCUGAUCAUGCUAGAAUUGACAUCCCUAAGUAGGCGAUGACCGAUGAUCAACACAUUGAACUCAUUGAACCUGUCUACGUUCGUAACUUUGUAUUAUUUUUUUCUUUUUGGUAUGGGAUGUUUGUACGAUGAUAGCGAUCAGAACUAAUAUUAUUAAUGUUUUAAAUAUUUAUUUAAAUCAAAAGCAUCAUAAUUUGUUAAGAUUGAGCAUGAAUUUUUUUUCACGUUGUAAAAUGAAACGAUCAACUUACUUUAUUCUUGUAAAGCUUAUAAAUUAUUCUAAAAUUUUUAA